CAUAUGCUCGUCACAAAGAUUAAGCCAUGCAUGUCUAAGAACACGUCUGCGUAAGGCCACUCUGCGGAUGGCUCAUUAAAUCAGCUAUUAUCGAUCAUGUGACAGUUAUCUACACGGAUAACUGUGCCAAUUCUAGAGCUAAUACGUGCCACCAUGUCUCGAACGAAAGGGAGAGACGGCGUACAUUAGAUCAAAACCAACCGCACUUGUGUGAAUGUUUUUGUGACUCUGGAUGUAUAUGGCGAUCGCAUAACCUUGUGUUGGCGAUACACUUGACGAAUUGCUGCCCUAUCAGCUAUAGACGGUAAGAUAUUGGCUUACCGUGGCUGUAACGGGUAACGGGGAAUCAGCGUUCGAUUCCGGAGAGGGAGCCUGAGAAAUGGCUACCACAUCUAAGGAUGGCAGCAGGCGCGUAACUUAUCCACUCCUAAUUCAGGGAGAUAGUGACGAAAAAUAACAAAGCCAGACCAAUCGGUCUGACUAUUGGAAUGAGUGGAGUUUAAACAACUCCACAAGUAUCAAUUAGAGGGCAAGUCUGGUGCCAGCAGCCGCGGUAAUUCCAGCUCUAAUAGCGUAUAUUAAAGUUGUUGCAGUUAAAAAGCUCGUAGUUGAAUUCAAAGCAAUGAGGCACUGUUUACUUACGUGAACACUUGUCAAGUUGUUUGGUGGCCGCGCAUAUUUAUGAUGCUCUUCACCGGGUGUCAUAGGUAGCCGGCGAGUUUACUUUGAAAAAAUUAGAGUGCUCAAAGCAGGCGUAUGCCUGAAUACUGUUGCAUGGAAUAAUGAAAUAGGACUUCAGUUCUAUUUUGUUGGUUUUCGGAAGUGAAGUAAUGAUUAAAAGGGACUGACGGGGGCAUUUGUAUGACCGGGGGAGAGGUGAAAUUCGUAGAUCCUGGUCAGACAAUCUACUGCGAAAGCAUUUGCCAAGAAUGUUUUCAUUAAUCAAGAACGAAAGUCAGAGGUUCGAAGACGAUCAGAUACCGUCCUAGUUCUGACCAUAAACUAUGCCAUCUGAUAAUCCGGAGAGGAAUUGAUCUAUUUCUCGAUGGGCAACCCCCGGGAAACCUUCAAGUUUGUCGGUUCCGGGGGGAGUAUGGUUGCAAAGCUGAAACUUAAAGGAAUUGACGGAAGGGCACCACCAGGAGUGGAGCCUACGGCUUAAUUUGACUCAACACGGGAAAACUCACUUGGCCCGGACACUGAGAGGAUUGACAGACUGAUAGCUCUUUCUUGAUUCAGUGAAUGGUGGUGCAUGGCCGUUCUUAGUUGGUGGAUCAGUUUGUCUGGUUAAUUCCGAUAACGAACGAGACUCAGUCCUGCUAGUUAGUGCAUGUAUGUUUCCCAUAUGUGUACGUGUAUGCUUCUUAGAGGGACAAACUGGAAUUAAACUGUAUGAGAUUGAGCAAUAACAGGUCUGUGAUGCCCUUAGAUGUCCAAGGCCGCACGUGGGCUACAAUGGCAGUGCCAAUGAGCAAUAUCCGACGCUGAGAGGCUGAGGAAAACUGUUCAAUCACUGUCUUGACUGGGAUUGUGGUUUGUAAUUAUUCCACAUGAACGAGGAAUUCCUAGUAAGUGCAAGUCAUCAGCUUGCGCUGAUUACGUCCCUGCCCUUUGUACACACCGCCCGUCGCUACUACCGAUUGAAUGGCUUAGUGAGGUUAUUGGAUUGAUGACUGUGGAGUGGUCAAACACUUUGUGGUUAUUAAGAAGAUAAUCGAACUUGGUCAUUUAGAGGAAGUAAAAGUCGUAACAAG
rnacentral:rRNA from 1 species